rnacentral:rRNA from 1 species
AGUCAGGCAACGAGCGAGACCCACGCCUUUAGUUACCAGCUUAUCCUUUUUUGGAUGAUGGGCACACUAGGGGGACCGCCUAUGAUAAAUAGGAGGAAGGAGUGGAUGACGGUAGGUCCGUAUGCCCCGAAUCCUCUGGGCAACACGCGGGNUACAAUGGNUGAGACAAUGGGUUCCGACACCGAAAGGUGGAGGUAAUCCUCUAAACUUAGUCGUAGUUCGGAUUGAGGACUGUAACUCGUUCUCAUGAAGNUGGAAUGCGUAGUAAUCGCGUAUCACUAUUGCGCGGUGAAUACGUCCCUGCUCCUUGCACACACCGCCCGUCACACCACCCAAAAAGGGCUUGGAUGAGGAUGUAAUGUUUUUGUUAUAUUCGAAUCUAGUUUUUUAAGGAGGU